rnacentral:rRNA from 1 species
AGCGAACGCUGGCGGCAGGCCUAACACAUGCAAGUCGAACGAACCUUUCGGGGUUAGUGGCGGACGGGUGAGUAACACGUGGGAACGUGCCUUUAGGUUCGGAAUAACUCAGGGAAACUUGUGCUAAUACCGAAUGUGCCCUUCGGGGGAAAGAUUAAUCGCCUUUAGAGCGGCCCGCGUCUGAUUAGCUAGUUGGUUGAGGUAAUGGCUCACCAAGGCGACGAUCAGUAGCUGGUCUGAGAGGAUGAUCAGCCACAUUGGGACUGAGACACGGCCCAAACUCCUACGGGAGGCAGCAGUGGGGAAUCUUGCGCAAUGGGCGAAAGCCUGACGCAGCCAUGCCGCGUGAAUGAUGAAGGUCUUAGGAUUGUAAAAUUCUUUCACCGGGGACGAUAAUGACGGUACCCGGAGAAGAAGCCCCGGCUAACAUCGUG